GAAGGGCAUCUUGAGUUAGAAGUACUCAUUAGCCAAAACAAAGGACUGUCCUCUCCUGGUGUCUCUUCCAGAACAGAUUGACCCUGAGAGGUUGUCUGGCCUCUGUGCUUCUUAGCUGCUGGCAUUGAAGGAGCUUGCACAGUG
rnacentral:snoRNA from 1 species